CCGGGUGCGUAACGCGUAUGCAACCUGCCGUCUACUCUUGGACAGCCUUCUGAAAGGAAGAUUAAUACAAGAUGGCAUCAUGAGUCCACAUGUUCACAUGAUUAAAGGUAUUCCGGUAGACGAUGGGGAUGCGUUCCAUUAGAUAGUAGGCGGGGUAACGGCCCACCAAGACUACGAUGGAUAGGGGUUCUGAGAGGAAGGUCCCCCACAUUGGAACUGAGACACGGUCCAA
rnacentral:rRNA from 1 species